GGCGAGAGCGCGCGGCCGGUGCACCUGCUGCCACCGCGCGGGAACUGGGCGGUGACCGUUGCUCCGCACAUCAUGGCCCUUCAACGUUUGUGGUCGACGGGCAAUCACUCGUUCGGUGGUCAGGGCAGGUCGGAAAUCUUGGUCUCUUGUUCAUGCUGCUGUUUUUCAUAUUUGCAGCUCUUGGAGUUGAUCUUUUCGGGGACCUAGUUGAGGAAGAAAGAAGAUGCAUUGGAAGUACUGGUAUCAAAGGUGGCAUGAUGAGAACAGCAUCCACAGGAACAGAGAAACUGGGGAAAAAAGAGCAAAGGCAACAGAGAAGGUAGAUGAGGAUGAAGGUCACAGUUACUCAUUUGAAAUUUUGACAUCAACUGGAGUUCAGCUUUUCUAAAGUGUAUAUAUUGGAGAAUCUUGGAUGAUAGUUUUACAGUUCUGUUGCUGACGUUCAGUUUGAGUAACAUGACAACUUGUAAGUA